AAGUCGUAACAAGGUCUCCGUAGGUGAACCUGCGGAGGGAUCAUUACUGAGUUACACUCAAACCCUGUUUAAGAAUCUGUUGCUUCGGAGGCGCCCCUCGGGAGGGGAUCUGCUUCGGCCGCCUCCAAAAGCACUUUUACUCUUCAACUUUGUCUUCAAUUUGAAUAAAAAAGAAAUUAAAACCUCAACAACGGAUCUCUUGGUUACA
rnacentral:misc_RNA from 1 species